GGUUAAGCGACUAAGCGUACACGGUGGAUGCCCUGGCAGUCAGAGGCGAUGAAGGACGUGCUAAUCUGCGAAAAGCGUCGGUAAGGUGAUAUGAACCGUUAUAACCGGCGAUGUCCGAAUGGGGAAACCCAGUGCAAUUCGUUGCACUAUCGUUAACUGAAUACAUAGGUUAACGAGGCGAACCGGGGGAACUGAAACAUCUAAGUACCCCGAGGAAAAGAAAUCAACCGAGAUUCCCCCAGUAGCGGCGAGCGAACGGGGAGCAGCCCAGAGUCUGAAUCAGCUUGUGUGUUAGUGGAACGGUCUGGAAAGUCCGACGGUACAGGGUGAUAGUCCCGUACACCAAAAUGCACAGGUUGUGAACUCGAAGAGUAGGGCGGGACACGUGGUAUCCUGUCUGAAUAUGGGGGGACCAUCCUCCAAGGCUAAAUACUCCUGACUGACCGAUAGUGAACCAGUACCGUGAGGGAAAGGCGAAAAGAACCCCGGCGAGGGGAGUGAAAAAGAACCUGAAACCGUGUACGUACAAGCAGUGGGAGCACCUUCGGGUGUGACUGCGUACCUUUUGUAUAAUGGGUCAGCGACUUAUAUUCUGUAGCAAGGUUAACCGUAUAGGGGAGCCGCAGGGAAACCGAGUCUUAACUGGGCGUUAAGUUGCAGGGUAUAGACCCGAAACCCGGUGAUCUAGCCAUGGGCAGGUUGAAGGUUGGGUAACACUAACUGGAGGACCGAACCGACUAAUGUUGAAAAAUUAGCGGAUGACUUGUGGCUGGGGGUGAAAGGCCAAUCAAACCGGGAGAUAGCUGGUUCUCCCCGAAAGCUAUUUAGGUAGCGCCUCGUGAAUUCAUCUUCGGGGGUAGAGCACUGUUUCGGCUAGGGGGUCAUCCCGACUUACCAACCCGAUGCAAACUACGAAUACCGAAGAAUGUUAUCACGGGAGACACACGGCGGGUGCUAACGUCCGUCGUGAAGAGGGAAACAACCCAGACCGCCAGCUAAGGUCCCAAAGUCAUGGUUAAGUGGGAAACGAUGUGGGAAGGCACAGACAGCCAGGAUGUUGGCUUAGAAGCAGCCAUCAUUUAAAGAAAGCGUAAUAGCUCACUGGUCGAGUCGGCCUGCGCGGAAGAUGUAACGGGGCUAAACCAUGCACCGAAGCUGCGGCAGCGACACUAUGUGUUGUUGGGUAGGGGAGCGUUCUGUAAGCCUGUGAAGGUGACCUGUGAGGGUUGCUGGAGGUAUCAGAAGUGCGAAUGCUGACAUAAGUAACGAUAAAGCGGGUGAAAAGCCCGCUCGCCGGAAGACCAAGGGUUCCUGUCCAACGUUAAUCGGGGCAGGGUGAGUCGACCCCUAAGGCGAGGCCGAAAGGCGUAGUCGAUGGGAAACAGGUUAAUAUUCCUGUACUUGGUGUUACUGCGAAGGGGGGACGGAGAAGGCUAUGUUAGCCGGGCGACGGUUGUCCCGGUUUAAGCAUGUAGGCUGGUUAUCCAGGCAAAUCCGGAUAAUCAAGGCUGAGGUGUGAUGACGAGGCACUACGGUGCUGAAGUAACAAAUGCCCUGCUUCCAGGAAAAGCCUCUAAGCAUCAGGUAACAUCAAAUCGUACCCCAAACCGACACAGGUGGUCAGGUAGAGAAUACCAAGGCGCUUGAGAGAACUCGGGUGAAGGAACUAGGCAAAAUGGUGCCGUAACUUCGGGAGAAGGCACGCUGGUGUGUAGGUGAAGCCCCUGCGGGUGGAGCUGAGACCAGUCGAAGAUACCAGCUGGCUGCAACUGUUUAUUAAAAACACAGCACUGUGCAAACACGAAAGUGGACGUAUACGGUGUGACGCCUGCCCGGUGCCGGAAGGUUAAUUGAUGGGGUUAUCCGUAAGGAGAAGCUCUUGAUCGAAGCCCCGGUAAACGGCGGCCGUAACUAUAACGGUCCUAAGGUAGCGAAAUUCCUUGUCGGGUAAGUUCCGACCUGCACGAAUGGCGUAAUGAUGGCCAGGCUGUCUCCACCCGAGACUCAGUGAAAUUGAACUCGCUGUGAAGAUGCAGUGUACCCGCGGCAAGACGGAAAGACCCCGUGAACCUUUACUAUAGCUUGACACUGAACAUUGAGCCUUGAUGUGUAGGAUAGGUGGGAGGCUUUGAAGCGUGGACGCCAGUCUGCGUGGAGCCAACCUUGAAAUACCACCCUUUAAUGUUUGAUGUUCUAACGUUGGCCCCUGACCGGGGUUGCGGACAGUGUCUGGUGGGUAGUUUGACUGGGGCGGUCUCCUCCCAAAGCGUAACGGAGGAGCACGAAGGUUAGCUAAUCCUGGUCGGACAUCAGGAGGUUAGUGCAAUGGCAUAAGCUAGCUUGACUGCGAGCGUGACGGCGCGAGCAGGUGCGAAAGCAGGUCAUAGUGAUCCGGUGGUUCUGAAUGGAAGGGCCAUCGCUCAACGGAUAAAAGGUACUCCGGGGAUAACAGGCUGAUACCGCCCAAGAGUUCAUAUCGACGGCGGUGUUUGGCACCUCGAUGUCGGCUCAUCACAUCCUGGGGCUGAAGUAGGUCCCAAGGGUAUGGCUGUUCGCCAUUUAAAGUGGUACGCGAGCUGGGUUUAGAACGUCGUGAGACAGUUCGGUCCCUAUCUGCCGUGGGCGCUGGAGAAUUGAGGGGGGCUGCUCCUAGUACGAGAGGACCGGAGUGGACGCAUCACUGGUGUUCGGGUUGUCAUGCCAAUGGCACUGCCCGGUAGCUAAAUGCGGAAGAGAUAAGUGCUGAAAGCAUCUAAGCACGAAACUUGCCCCGAGAUGAGUUCUCCCUGAGACUUUAAGUCUCCUGAAGGAACGUUAAAGACGAUGACGUUGAUAGGCCGGGUGUGUAAGCGCAGCGAUGCGUUGAGCUAACCGGUACUAAUGAACCGUGAGGCUUAACCUU
rnacentral:rRNA from 1 species